rnacentral:rRNA from 1 species
UUUUAUGGAGAGUUUGAUCCUGGCUCAGGAUGAACGCUGGCGGCGUGCCUAAUACAUGCAAGUCGAGCGAACAGACGAGGAGCUUGCUCCUCUGACGUUAGCGGCGGACGGGUGAGUAACACGUGGAUAACCUACCU